rnacentral:rRNA from 1 species
GACAGAGGGUGCAAACGUUGUUCGGAAUUACUGGGCGUAAAGCGAGUGUAGGCGGCUGUGGUAAGUCGGAUGUGAAAGCCCCGGGCUCAACCCGGGAAGUGCACUCGAUACUGCCACGCUAGAGUAUCGGAGAGGUUGGUGGAAUUCUCGGUGUAGAGGUGAAAUUCGUAGAUAUCGAGAGGAACACCGGUGGCGAAGGCGGCCAACUGGACGAAUACUGACGCUGAGACUCGAAAGCGUGGGGAGCAAACAGG